GUGGGGAAUAUUGCACAAUGGGGGAAACCCUGAUGCAGCGACGCCGCGUGAGCGAGGAAGUAUUUCGGUAUGUAAAGCUCUGUCAGCAGGGAAGAAGAAUGACGGUACCUGAAGAAGAAGCACCGGCUAAAUACGUGCCAGCAGCCGCGGUAAUACGUAUGGUGCAAGCGUUAUCCGGAUUUACUGGGUGUAAAGGGAGCGCAGGCGGUUCUGCAAGUCUGAUGUGAAAGCCCGGGGCUCAACCGCGGGACUGCAUUGGAAACUGCGGGACUGGAGUGUCGGAGGGGUAAGCGGAAUUCCUGGUGUAGCGGUGAAAUGCGUAGAUAUCAGGAGGAACACCGGUGGCGAAGGCGGCUUACUGGACGAUGACUGACGCUGAGGCUCGAAAGCGUGGGGAGCAAACAGG
rnacentral:rRNA from 1 species